GUGCUAACUUUGACAGCACAUAUACUAAAAUUAGAACCAGACCGAGUAGUUUAUCAUGGCCUCUGCACAAGGAUGACAUGCAUAUUCGUGAAGCAUUCCAUAUUUUU